rnacentral:misc_RNA from 1 species
AUGAUCACGAAUUCCAACCGUCAGCAUUAGCAAGUUUUGGCAACAUUAUAUUCUGAUGUACCAAAUAAACUAAAAAGGUAGGAGAUUAUGAUUUAUACAAGUCUUAAAUUUUCAGAAUACAUAAAUGUAGACCUGUCAGUUGGGCCAGUUAAGAUUAGUCUGUAGGGGGUUAAUUUAAAUUUUUACCAACAAUCGACCUGGAUGUUAUUGCAUACAUGCACCAUACAGAUGGUUUCAUAAAGUAGAAUGAGGACCAAAAUAUGAUGUUGCUGCACUUCUAGAUUGUGGAACUUUCUAAGGAGGCUUAACAUA